rnacentral:piRNA from 1 species
UGCCCGGUUGCAGAAGGAGCUGGGGGAUGUGC